GAUGAAGAACGUAGCAAAAUGCGAUAAGUAAUGUGAAUUGCAGAAUUCAGUGAAUCAUCGAAUCUUUGAACGCACAUUGCGCCCGCCAGUAUUCUGGCGGGCAUGCCUGUUCGAGCGUCAUUUCAACCCUCAAGCUCAGCUUGGUGUUGGGACUCGCGGUAACCCGCGUUCCCCAAAUCGAUUGGCGGUCACGUCGAGCUUCCAUAGCGUAGUAAUCAUACACCUCGUUACUGGUAAUCGUCGCGGCCACGCCGUAAAACCCCAACUUCUGAAUGUUGACCUCGGAUCAGGUAGGAAUACCCGCUGAACUUAAGCAUAUCAAUAAGCGAGGA
rnacentral:misc_RNA from 1 species